GCAGUCGUGGCCUACUGGUUAGGGCUUCGGGCUUGGAACCGAAAGGUUGCUGGAUCAAUCCCCGACCAUUGGU
rnacentral:tRNA from 1 species